rnacentral:rRNA from 1 species
AUCUUGACAUCCUUUGACCGCUCUAGAGAUAGAGUUUUCCUCUUCGGAGGACAAAGUGACAGGUGGUGCAUGGUUGUCGUCAGCUCGUGUCGUGAGAUGUUGGGUUAAGUCCCGCAACGAGCGCAACCCUUGAACUUAGUUGCCAUCAUUCAGUUGGGCACUCUAAGUUGACUGCCGGUGACAAACCGGAGGAAGGUGGGGAUGACGUCAAAUCAUCAUGCCCCUUAUGAUUUGGGCUACACACGUGCUACAAUGGACAAUACAAAGGGCAGCGAAACCGCGAGGUCAAGCAAAUCCCAUAAAGUUGUUCUCAGUUCGGAUUGUAGUCUGCAACUCGACUACAUGAAGCUGGAAUCGCUAGUAAUCGUAGAUCAGCAUGCUACGGUGAAUACGUUCCCGGGUCUUGUACACACCGCCCGUCACACCACGAGAGUUUGUAACACCCGAAGCCGGUGGAGUAACCAUUUUGGAGCUAGCCGUCGAAGGUGGGACAAAUGAUUGGGGUGAAGUCGUAACAAGGUAGCCGUAUCGGAAGGUGCGGCUGGAUCACCUCCUUUCUAAGGA